AACACAUGCAAGUCGAACGGAGUUAUUAAUGAAGCUUGCGAUUUAAUAACUUAGUGGCGGACGGGUGAGUAACGCGUGGGUAAUCUGCCCAUAAGUGGGGAACAACAGUUGGAAACGACUGCUAAUACCGCAUAAUCUGCGCAAGCAGAAAAGGUGGCCUCUGAAUAUGCUGCCGCUUAUGGAUGAGCCCGCGUCUGAUUAGCUAGUUGGUGGGGUAAAGGCCUACCAAGGCGACGAUCAGUAGCCGGCCUGAGAGGGUGAACGGCCACACUGGGACUGAGACACGGCCCAGACUCCUACGGGAGGCAGCAGUGGGGAAUAUUGCGCAAUGGGGGAAACCCUGACGCAGCGACGCCGCGUGAGCGAUGAAGGCCUUAGGGUUGUAAAGCUCUGUUUUAGGGGACGAAUGUCUAGAUCAGUAAUAUGGGUUUAGAAUGACGGUACCCUAAGAGGAAGCCCCGGCUAACUACGUGCCAGCAGCCGCGGUAAGACGUAGGGGGCGAGCGUUGUUCGGAAUUACUGGGCGUAAAGGGCAUGUAGGCGGUUUUGUAAGACUGGCGUGAAAGGCUGCAGCUUAACUGUAGCAUGGCGCUGGUAACUACAAGACUUGAGUCACGGAGAGGGAGCUAGAAUUCCAGGUGUAGGGGUGAAAUCUGUAGAUAUCUGGAAGAAUACCAGUGGCGAAGGCGAGCUUCUGGCCGAUGACUGACGCUGAGGUGCGAAAGCGUGGGUAGCAAACAGGAUUAGAUACCCUGGUAGUCCACGCGGUAAACGAUGCACACUAGGUGCUGGGGCGGACGCUUCAGUGCCGGAGUUAACGUGGUAAGUGUGCCGCCUGGGGAGUAUGCUCGCAGGGUG
rnacentral:rRNA from 1 species